rnacentral:rRNA from 1 species
AGCGAACGCUGGCGGCAGGCCUAACACAUGCAAGUCGAACGGGAGCACAGUGUGAGUUUGCUGUUAUGGGUGGAGGGUGGCGGAAGGGUGAGGAAUAUAUCGGAAUCUUCUCUUUGGUGGGGGAUAACGUAGGGAAGUUUACGAUAAUACAGCAUAUGACGUACGGGUGAAAGCAGGGGAUAUUCGGGGCUUGCGCGAUUGAAUGAGCCGAGGUCGGAUUAGCUAGUUGGCGGGGUAAAGGCCAACGAUGGCGACGAUCGGUAGCUGGUCUGAGAGCAUGAUCAGCCACACUGGAGCUGAGACACGGCCCAGACUCCUACGAGAAGCAGCAGUCGAGAAUAUUAGGCAAUGGGCGCGAGCCUGAUCCAGCCAGACCGCGUGGGUGAAGAAGGCCUUCUGGUUGUAAAGCCCUUUUGUUGGUAAAGAACAGCAGCUGGUUAAGACCCCGCGGUUCUGACGGUACCCAAAGAAUAAGCACCGGCUAACUACGUG